GCAACAAAAUAUUAUAUAAAACCAUUUGAAGUCAAUAAUAUAAAACAAUUUCAUACAAAUAAUAUGUAAAGCAAAUUAAAAUAAAAAAUAUACAAAGUAAUGAAAAAAUAUAAGACACCUUAAAAAUAACAUACAAAAGAGUUUAAAAUAAAUAAUAUGUAAAAGAGAAAUUUAAAAUAAAUAAUGUACAAAAACAGUUUAAAUAAAAAAAUUAUAUAUAUAUAUGUAGCGACGUAAGUUUUACCUUCGGUCGCUAAUUGUGGUGAUUUAGUGAAAACUUGAAAACUGAAGUUUGAUUUUGAAAUAGAUAAAAAAGGGAGUCAGCAUCGAUCCUUUUUAUAGGUGUGAUCGGAUACCUAAUAUAUUUAUUUUUUAAAACAAAAGAAGGCUGAAUUUGGGUCUAUAUGAAAAUCCAGAGAAAAAUUAGGAUUCGGGAGUCGGUUACGCGUGAGGAAGGUAUUAGCACCCUCGCGACGCCCAAAAUUUGUAUCUUGCAAAACACAUGUUGUCUUAAUUUUCAAAGAUACGAGUUCAAUGUAACAUUUAGUCAUGAUCUGGUUGAAACACGAGAAUUUUCAAUUCUUUUGAUUUUUGAGAAGGACAUACCGUUUUAACACAAGUCGAUUGAUGUUCACCCAACAUAGCGAUGAAAUCGAUGACUAAACGUUAAAUCGUUACGUUGCCUUAUUUGGGCUUCUACAUAUAUA
rnacentral:lncRNA from 1 species